rnacentral:rRNA from 1 species
UGGGGAAUUUUGGACAAUGGGCGCAAGCCUGAUCCAGCCAUGCCGCGUGUCUGAAGAAGGCCUUCGGGUUGUAAAGGACUUUUGUCAGGGAAGAAAAGGGCGGGGUUAAUACCCCUGUCUGAUGACGGUACCUGAAGAAUAAGCACCGGCUAACUACGUGCCAGCAGCCGCGGUAAUACGUAGGGUGCGAGCGUUAAUCGGAAUUACUGGGCGUAAAGCGGGCGCAGACGGUUACUUAAGCAGGAUGUGAAAUCCCCGGGCUCAACCUGGGAACUGCGUUCUGAACUGGGUGACUAGAGUGUGUCAGAGGGAGGUAGAAUUCCACGUGUAGCAGUGAAAUGCGUAGAGAUGUGGAGGAAUACCGAUGGCGAAGGCAGCCUCCUGGGAUAACACUGACGUUCAUGCCCGAAAGCGUGGGUAGCAAACAGGAUUAGAUACCCUGGUAGUCCACGCCCUAAACGAUGUCGAUUAGCUGUUGGGCAGCAUGACUGCUUAGUAGCGAAGCUAACGCGUGAAAUCGACCGCCUGGGGAGUACGGUCGCAAGAUUAA